UUAUGGUAGAAAAGAUUGAUCGAGAUAGGGGUCAUGACAGUAUUGGGCUCAGGACUGUCAAAGGGACCAGGAAGGUACACAGCGUCAAAGGAGCUACCUGCAUCGGGAAAGUAAAGAUAUGAGACCAAUCCUGUUUCUGCAGUUCAUGUUUUAGUGGAGACCAUUCAUCUUGCCACAACAAGGAUUAUGUCGAGGACUAGAAGGAAGUGGAUCUGUUAACCAGGCCAAAGACUUGCUAACAGACAGAAAAAGAGACCAGUCUACAACCAGCGACACAUACUCACCAUAAACCAGAACAGGACCAGAUGAACACUGACAACAGUGAAUACAUGAAUCUUCAAGAUAGUUAGACCAGCACCAUUGUUGGGGAUGAUGAACCAGCAGAGGGCCAGGAUUUCACAGACAGCAGCGAGCACUGUGGUCAGAAG